UAUUCUAACCAUUCUUAGGAAUGACUUUGUGAUAUCCGUGCAUUCCUCGCUUCUAUACAUCCCAGCUCCGCCAGUCAAUGUAUCCUGAUGACGUCAUCAAAUCCCUGCGGUGCAUCGAACCAAAUUUGCCAAAUUUGUUUGUAUUUUCUAUUCUGUUUGUCGAGCGACAUCAUCUACUACGGACGCAACCGACAACAACCGCCUGACUUCUCGCUAUCAUCAUCUCUUCGAACCAACUUUCCACCACAACCUGUUGUACGCGUCCGCGAACCGUGUGAGCAAUUUCAUAAGAUCAUCUACAUCAUCGCGAUUCCAUCGUCAACUGCAUCCCUGUAAGCCCAUUAGGAUGGUUAGGCGAAUAGCCGCCAAAGGAAAGGCAUAAAUACCCGGCAGUGCUAGAAGCUCAUCCUGCGGAACAAUUUGGAACAUUGCCCAAGCCUAAUUUGUUUCAGUAAUGGCUGGGUUUUGGCAUUGCCCAUCCCUUCCUUUUUUUUGUUUGUUUUAUACGCUCUACAUGACUCCUGGUAGCUUUGCCAAUGCUUCGCGAAGAUCCACGCACACCUAUCUCAACAUGCGCGUCCGUGUGAUCCCGACGAUCAACACGACAACCCAUCGAAUUAGGAGCCUUUCAUCGUGUGGCUAACCAUCAGCUUCUUUCCCUACGCUCGCUGGCUACUCUGCUACUACGAGUGCUGUAGUAGUGGGAUGGGUGCUGCCUCGUUCCCUUUGAGCUGCCUUUCAUCCUAAAGAGAUACAUUUUAGCGUCAGCUAUCUUCGAUGUGAAACUUAACUUGACGAGCACGUUGCACCAUGAAUUGCUUAGCAUCUCUUCUGCUGGCUCGCGCCGCACAUGGAAAACUUCAGCUCCUCUUCCUCGUGACGUGGCGUGCAUCAUCGUCCUGGCGUUUGGCGAACUGUAGGAGCAGGGCACACUAUGAACCAACUUCGACAACUUCCCCUCACCAUCACCACCAACCACCAACCACCACGAACUACACACAACUUCCACCACAACCACCACCGCCUACUGCCGCAUCCAAACAUCUUAAAAUGCUCCACAUCGUGUGUGCGCUCGCUUUCUCUACUCAUCUCUUCUUCCGUUUCUGGAAAAGGUAGGAUAUCUCGUUCCCCGCGCCGUUCCCGAACACGCAGUCGCAGUAUGAGCCGCGAGCGUGACCGCCGUAGCCGCAGUGGAUCACGCGAUCGUCGCUAGAGGAGCGACUGGAACAGAGGUGAGGCCCCUCCUGCUCCCUUACCUGGAGUGGUGUCUCACAAGUUUAGUAAAAGGUGACGUGCUUGACAUUCCCUGUCUGGAGUGUAUUGCGACUACGACGCGUCUCGCAGUAUCGUGGCACUACUAGUGCAGGGAGCAAAGUCACAUGAAUACUAAACAAAUGGCGCGGAUGCAGCCCCCAAAUAGGUAACCCAGAAACUCUACUAAAAUCAUAAUGCAGCAGCGAAUUAGUUUAACGGAAGUAAUGAACACCGAUCAACGGGAAAGUUUUGGUUUAGACACAAGCAUGUGUGUGUGUGUGUUGGUAGUGUGCCACCAAAGUGUGUCUGGGAUGGAUGACGAUACCGGAAGAGACAUACGCUUGCAGCUAGAAGGUUUGCGUAAGUGAAUGUUACCCGAAGGUAACGCCUACGAACGUGUAGUAUUUGCUUUUACAACAGAAGUGACCACGAGUGAACGCCGCUACGACGACGAGUCUUGACAUCCGGAACCGAAAAAGGCGGGGAGUAUUUUCGCGGUGGGGAACAUCCUUUUUUGUUUGUUUUCAAUGAUUCGUCUGCAAUAUGUAGAGGGAUGAAUCUCUAAAAGUAAAAUGGAAACACAUUUAAAAUACAGUCCCUUGCGAGAGUUUCGGA